rnacentral:rRNA from 1 species
CCUACGGGUGGCAGCAGUGAGGAAUAUUGGUCAAUGGACGCAAGUCUGAACCAGCCAUGCCGCGUGCAGGAAGAAGGCACUAUGUGUCGUAAACUGCUUUUGUACGAGGGUAAAUCCCGAUACGUGUAUCGGGUUGAAAGUAUCGUACGAAUAAGGAUCGGCUAACUCCGUGCCAGCAGCCGCGGUAAUACGGAGGAUUCAAGCGUUAUCCGGAUUUAUUGGGGUUAAAGGGUGCGUAGGCGGUUCGUUAAGUUAGAGGUGAAAUCCCCGGGCUCAACCCCGGCAAUGCCUUUGAAACUGGCGGGCUAGAGUUUAGUUGCGGUAGGCGGAAUGUAUGGUGUAGCGGUGAAAUGCAUAGAGAGCAUACAGAACACCGAUUGUGAAGGCAGCUUACCGAACUACGACUGACGUUGAGGCACGAAAGCGUGGGUAGCGAACAGGAUUAGAUACCCCAGUAGUC